rnacentral:rRNA from 1 species
AUUGAACGCUGGCGGCAUGCCUUACACAUGCAAGUCGAACGGCAGCACGGGAGCAAUCCUGGUGGCGAGUGGCGAACGGGUGAGUAAAGUAUCGGAACGUGCCCAGUCGUGGGGGAUAACGUAGCGAAAGUUACGCUAAUACCGCAUACGAUCUAUGGAUGAAAGCGGGGGAUCGCAAGACCUCGCGCGAUUGGAGCGGCCGAUAUCAGAUUAGGUUGUUGGUGGGGUAAAGGCUCACCAAGCCGACGAUCUGUAGCUGGUCUGAGAGGACGACCAGCCACACUGGGACUGAGACACGGCCCAGACUCCUACGGGAGGCAGCAGUGGGGAAUUUUGGACAAUGGGCGAAAGCCUGAUCCAGCCAUGCCGCGUGCAGGAUGAAGGCCUUCGGGUUGUAAACUGCUUUUGUACGGAACGAAAAGGUUUGGCCUAAUAAGCUGAGCUCAUGACGGUACCGUAAGAAAAAGCACCGGCUAACUACGUGCCAGCAGCCGCAGUAA